UACAUGCUGAGAUUUUGAAGAAGCAAACACUCUCCCAAAGUCUAUUCAAGUGCUCACUUCUUUCACUUUGUUUUUAAACCUUCGAUUCAUCAUAUACUUCGAUAUACACAAGGUUUAAACCCCGAAGCUUUGUUUUUAUUCAACCAAGCCUCGUUCAUCUUAGCAUAUUCUUUAACCACUCUUUUACACCUCCCGAAGGGCUGCCCAAAUUCGUUCGUGUACUUAAAGUUGUAUCGAACCUCCGACGAAUUUUUCCGGCGAACUUUUUGCAAAAAUCGUUGAGGUGAAGUGAAGUGAGGUGAUCUUCGUUCUAAGACCCAAGUCCUUGACAUAUCGACGGGGAGUUGAUAGUCAUCGCACCGUGAGGAAGAAGAAAGAUCCAAGAUCUAAUACCUAAGACCCAAGACCGGCAAAAGGCUUAGAAGUACAAAGACUACUCUUGGAGAUACAUAGAUUUUGAGGAAGUAACGGGAAGUUACGUUCCGAGAUAAAGUCUUGUAAUUUUACAUUUAUAGUGAGGUAGUAACGGGAAGUUACGUACCAAGA